rnacentral:rRNA from 1 species
AGGACGAACGCUGGCGGCGUGCUUAACACAUGCAAGUCGAACGAUGAAGCACCAGCUUGCUGGUGUGGAUUAGUGGCGAACGGGUGAGUAACACGUGAGUAACCUGCCCCCUACUCUGGGAUAAGCCUGGGAAACUGGGUCUAAUACUGGAUAUGACCAAUCACUGCAUGGUGUGUUGGUGGAAAGAUUUUUUGGUGGGGGAUGGACUCGCGGCCUAUCAGCUUGUUGGUGGGGUAAUGGCCUACCAAGGCGACGACGGGUAGCCGGCCUGAGAGGGCGACCGGCCACACUGGGACUGAGACACGGCCCAGACUCCUACGGGAGGCAGCAGUGGGGAAUAUUGCACAAUGGGCGAAAGCCUGAUGCAGCGACGCCGCGUGAGGGAUGACGGCCUUCGGGUUGUAAACCUCUUUCACCAGGGACGAAGCUAACGUGACGGUACCUGGAGAAGAAGCACCGGCUAACUACGUGCCAGCAGCCGCGGUAAUACGUAGGGUGCGAGCGUUGUCCGGAAUUAUUGGGCGUAAAGAGCUUGUAGGCGGUUUGUCGCGUCUGCUGUGAAAGACCGGGGCUUAACUCCGGUUCUGCAGUGGGUACGGGCAGACUAGAGUAUGGUAGGGGAGACUGGAAUUCCUGGUGUAGCGGUGAAAUGCGCAGAUAUCAGGAGGAACACCGAUGGCGAAGGCAGGUCUCUGGGCCAUUACUGACGCUGAGAAGCGAAAGCAUGGGGAGCGAACAGGAUUAGAUACCCUGGUAGUCCAUGCCGUAAACGUUGGGCGCU